rnacentral:lncRNA from 1 species
UUGAAAUUGGCCAAUGAGAAAAUCUCUCCAUCGAUUUUGGAGGCCUUUACAUUGUAAAAGACGGAAAUUUAGUUUAAUUUCAUAUAUUUUGUUUGUUCAAAAUGGCCAAUGAAAAAAUUCAUCCGUCGGUUUUAGAGGCUUUCCCAUUUUUAAAGACGGAAAUUUAGUUAAUGUUUAUAUUUUUUAUAUGUCAAAAUCGACCGAUGAAGAAAUUACCGUCGAUUUCCAAAGCCUCCCAUUUUAAUAAGACGGAUUUUUAUUUUUUAAGUUAUUGUUUAAUUCAUUUAUUUUUAUUCAUAUUUAUUUAUUACUAACACUUUUACUAAGUAUCUUUACAGGUACCUGGAGCUGCUUCCCAUUG